rnacentral:rRNA from 1 species
GAUGAACGCUGGCGGCGUGCCUAAUACAUGCAAGUCGAGCGAACGGACGAGAAGCUUGCUUUUCUGAUGUUAGCGGCGGACGGGUGAGUAACACGUGGAUAACCUACCUCUAAGACUGGGAUAACUUCGGGAAACCGGAGCUAAUACCGGAUAAUAUUUUGAACCGCAUGGUUCAAAAGUGAAAGACGGUCUUGCUGUCACUUAUAGAUGGAUCCGCGCUGCAUUAGCUAGUUGGUAAGGUAACGGCUUACCAAGGCAACGAUGCAUAGCCGACCUGAGAGGGUGAUCGGCCACACUGGAACUGAGACACGGUCCAGACUCCUACGGGAGGCAGCAGUAGGGAAUCUUCCGCAAUGGGCGAAAGCCUGACGGAGCAACGCCGCGUGAGUGAUGAAGGUCUUCGGAUCGUAAAACUCUGUUAUUAGGGAAGAACAUAUGUGUAAGUAACUGUGCACAUCUUGACGGUACCUAAUCAGAAAGCCACGGCUAACUACGUG